CCGUGCAGCCGGGGAGUUAGCGGUGCCCUGUACCUGCAAUCCGCUAUAGCAGGGGUGAUGGCUGGCCUCGAACUGGUUAUGCGAGGUCUGCCCUUGGUAAGUAAUGUUGAAGAUUCAGGUCUUGCGCGACAGGACCCUGUGAACCGUGUCAGGUUGGGAACAAAGCAGCACUAAGCAGGUCAUCCUGUGCGCCGCGAGGCAGCCUGGAGCGAGUUAACUGCCAAGGUAACGUUCGUAUAAACUUUGCAAAGUCAGCCGCGCGG
rnacentral:SRP_RNA from 1 species